rnacentral:rRNA from 2 species
AGCAGCCGCGGUAAUUCCAGCUCCAAUAGCGUAUAUUAAAGUUGCUGCAGUUAAAAAGCUCGUAGUUGAAUUUCGGGACUAAUAUGUCGGUCGUGCCUCGGUACGUACUGGUUUAUUGGUUUCUCCUUUCUGAAGAACCAUGAUGUCAUUUAUUUGGUGUCGUGGGGAAUCAGGACUGUUACUUUGAAAAAAUUAGAGUGUUUAAAGCAGGCUCACGCUUGAAUACAUUAGCAUGGAAUAAUGAAAUAGGACGUUUGAUUCUAUUUUGUUGGUUUCUAGGAUCGACGUAAUGAUUAAUAGGGAUAGUUGGGGGCAUUAGUAUUCAAUUGUCAGAGGUGAAAUUCUUGGAUUUAUUGAAGACUAACUACUGCGAAAGCAUUUGCCAAGGAUGUUUUCAUUAAUCAAGAACGAAAGUUAGGGGAUCGAAGACGAUCAGAUACCGUCGUAGUC